ACCGUCCGCUCCCAGGAGGCCUGCAGCUUCCAAGGGCGGUUGGCCCGCCACGGGGACUCACCCCGCAGCGCGUCCGGCUCCAAACGGAGCAGAGGAAACACCAUGUCCUCAAUGACUUAUCCUUGACUGACACCAUUUUUUUUCCCCCUCAGCGGGGCUCUUCUUGUUAUGUGGUUCCUGCAAUAUCCUCUCCUCCCACACAUUUUUUUCCCCCCCUGUCAAAAAAGUUUCUAUUUUCUUCCUUGAAAUCUUUUUCCUGGUCUUUUUUUUUUUUUUUUUUUUAAUCUCGCUUUCCAGCCUUCCUUUAAUGAGGUCAAAGACUACAGACAGACCUAUAGAUUUUGGCUUCAUCUGAGGACACGGAAUUCAAACAUCCAGGUGGAGAAACCGAGGCUUAAAGAGAUCAAGAGGCUGCCCACACUUACACAGCUGCUAAGGGACAAGGAACUUUGUGUUCUUCCUGUCAUGGGUAUUGUCGUGUCCCUGAGGGUUUCUCAGCCUCCUGAUGACCCCGGCGUGGCAUACCCAAAGCCUCAGUUUCCUCCUCUGCAAAAUGGAGGCAAUAAUGGUAUCUACCUCAUAGGAAUCGAUGAGAAACAUUUGGCCCAGCAUAUGACUCAUAAUAAACAUUUAAUUAUUA